rnacentral:rRNA from 1 species
CGGAAAGGCCCUGCUUUUGUGGGGUGCUCGAGUGGCGAACGGGUGAGUAACACGUGAGUAACCUGCCCUUGACUUUGGGAUAACUUCAGGAAACUGGGGCUAAUACCGGAUAGGAGCUCCUGCUGCAUGGUGGGGGUUGGAAAGUUUCGGCGGUUGGGGAUGGACUCGCGGCUUAUCAGCUUGUUGGUGGGGUAGUGGCUUACCAAGGCUUUGACGGGUAGCCGGCCUGAGAGGGUGACCGGCCACAUUGGGACUGAGAUACGGCCCAGACUCCUACGGGAGGCAGCAGUGGGGAAUAUUGCACAAUGGGCGGAAGCCUGAUGCAGCAACGCCGCGUGCGGGAUGACGGCCUUCGGGUUGUAAACCGCUUUCGCCUGUGACGAAGCGUGAGUGACGGUAAUGGGUAAAGAAGCACCGGCUAACUACGUGCCAGCAGCCGCGGUGAUACGUAGGGUGCGAGCGUUGUCCGGAUUUAUUGGGCGUAAAGGGCUCGUAGGUGGUUGAUCGCGUCGGAAGUGUAAUCUUGGGGCUUAACCCUGAGCGUGCUUUCGAUACGGGUUGACUUGAGGAAGGUAGGGGAGAAUGGAAUUCCUGGUGGAGCGGUGGAAUGCGCAGAUAUCAGGAGGAACACCAGUGGCGAAGGCGGUUCUCUGGGCCUUUCCUGACGCUGAGGAGCGAAAGC